rnacentral:rRNA from 1 species
GACGAACGCUGGCGGCGUGCCUAAUACAUGCAAGUUGAGCGCUGAAGGUUGGUACUUGUACCAACUGGAUGAGCAGCGAACGGGUGAGUAACGCGUGGGGAAUCUGCCUUUGAGCGGGGGACAACAUUUGGAAACGAAUGCUAAUACCGCAUAAAAACUUUAAACACAAGUUUUAAGUUUGAAAGAUGCAAUUGCAUCACUCAAAGAUGAUCCCGCGUUGUAUUAGCUAGUUGGUGAGGUAAAGGCUCACCAAGGCGAUGAUACAUAGCCGACCUGAGAGGGUGAUCGGCCACAUUGGGACUGAGAAAAGGCCCAAACUCCUACGGGAGGCAGCAGUAGGGAAUCUUCGGCAAUGGACGAAAGUCUGAACGAGGAAAGCCGCGUGAGUGAAGAAGGUUUUCGGAUCGUAAAAAUCUGUUGGUAGAGAAGAACGUUGGUGAGAGUGGAAAGCUCAUCAAGUGACGGUAACUACCCAGAAAGGGACGGCUAACUACGUG